AGAGUUUGAUCCUGGCUCAGGAUGAACGCUGGCGGCGUGCCUAAUACAUGCAAGUCGAGCGAACUGAUUAGAAGCUUGCUUCUAUGACGUUAGCGGCGGACGGGUGAGUAACACGUGGGCAACCUGCCUGUAAGACUGGGAUAACUUCGGGAAACCGAAGCUAAUACCGGAUAGGAUCUUCUCCUUCAUGGGAGAUGAUUGAAAGAUGGUUUCGGCUAUCACUUACAGAUGGGCCCGCGGUGCAUUAGCUAGUUGGUGAGGUAACGGCUCACCAAGGCAACGAUGCAUAGCCGACCUGAGAGGGUGAUCGGCCACACUGGGACUGAGACACGGCCCAGACUCCUACGGGAGGCAGCAGUAGGGAAUCUUCCGCAAUGGACGAAAGUCUGACGGAGCAACGCCGCGUGAGUGAUGAAGGCUUUCGGGUCGUAAAACUCUGUUGUUAGGGAAGAACAAGUACGAGAGUAACUGCUCGUACCUUGACGGUACCUAACCAGAAAGCCACGGCUAACUACGUGCCAGCAGCCGCGGUAAUACGUAGGUGGCAAGCGUUAUCCGGAAUUAUUGGGCGUAAAGCGCGCGCAGGCGGUUUCUUAAGUC
rnacentral:rRNA from 1 species